GCAUGUGCGCGAGUCAUUGGGACUCUGUUAAACCUAAAGGCGCAAUGAAAGUAAAGGUCCGCCUCGCGCGGACCGAGGGAGGAUGGGCCCGCCCCCGGGCGGGCCCCGCACUCCCGGGGCGUCUCGUUCUCAUCGCGAGAAGAGGCGCACCCAGAGCGUACGCGCUGGGACCCGAAAGAUGGUGAACUAUGCCUGGUCAGGACGAAGUCAGGGGAAACCCUGAUGGAGGUCCGUAGCGAUUCUGACGUGCAAAUCGAUCGUCGGAACUGGGUAUAGG
rnacentral:rRNA from 1 species